rnacentral:lncRNA from 1 species
AUUUUUUAAGGUCUUAACCCAAUGCAGGGUUGCGGGGGAGCUGAAGUCUUUUCUGACAAGCAGUGGAAACACCUUGGAUAGGAUGCCAGCCCAUCGCAGAGCGGAAUUAUAUUCAUUUCUCCAACAUGCUCAUUUUUAGUUUUAAAAGUCAGGCCCACUCAAUGAGAUCUCGAUGGAAAUGGAAACCACAGGAGCUCAGACUGCUCUCUAGGACGAAGGGCAGAGAAAUCUGUGUGCACCCAAUACCGAAAAUCCUCCAGAAUGAACAAAAAAACUAUACUUUAAGGAGGCCUGUGGGAAGGAAGACAACUAAAUAAAUCCUCCCAAAACAUACUGUAUUGGUAAGUAAAUCCACCACUAAAAGCGGUUUGUGCUCCGUAGCCUUCAAAGGUAGCUUUGGGGUAUGAUGUGCUGCGUAUAUGG